GUGAGGAAUAUUGGACAAUGGCCGGAAGGCUGAUCCAGCCAUGCCGCGUGAAGGAUUAAGGUCCUAUGGAUUGUAAACUUCUUUUGAGUGGGAGCAAUAAGGGCGUCGAGACGUCCGAUGAGAGUACCAUUUGAAUAAGCAUCGGCUAACUCCGUGCCAGCAGCCGCGGUAAUACGGAGGAUGCGAGCGUUAUCCGGAUUUAUUGGGUUUAAAGGGUGCGUAGGCGGUUUGUCAAGUCAGCGGUGAAACGCAAGGGCUUAACCCUUGACCUGCCGUUGAAACUGAUUGACUAGAAUGCGGAUGCUGUGGGAGGAAUGUGUGGUGUAGCGGUGAAAUGCAUAGAUAUCACACAGAACACCGAUUGCGAAGGCAUCUCACAAAUCCGUGAUUGACGCUGAGGCACGAAAGUGUGGGGAUCAAACAGG
rnacentral:rRNA from 1 species